UACGUAGGGUGCAAGCGUUAAUCGGAAUUACUGGGCGUAAAGCGUGCGCAGGCGGUUUUGUAAGUCAGAUGUGAAAUCCCCGGGCUCAACCCGGGAACCGCAUUUGAGACUGGCAGACUCGAGUGUAUCAGAGGGGGGCAGAACUCCACGUGUAGCAGUGAAAUGCGUAGAGAUGUGGAAGAACACCGAUGGCGAAGGCAACCCCCUGGGACAACACUGACGCUCAUGCACGAAAGCGUGGGGAGCAAACAGG
rnacentral:rRNA from 1 species